GGCAAAGCAACCCUUCCUGUAAGAAAAAGAAGCAAAUGGAUAACCAAAAUCAGUACUGGCUUCUCAAAACCGAGCCAGGGGAGGGGUCAUGGGAUGACCAACCAAUGGAGGCAUAACCAACUGGGAUGGCGUCAAAAACAAGCAAGCCCAGAAAAACCUUAGGGCCAUGCGCCUUGAUGACCUCUGCUUCUUCUACCACUCUGGUGCCAGUGCUCGUCGCGUUGUUGGUGUAGUGUCUGUAGUGAAGGAGUGUUAUAAGACUGCCGANNNNUGAGGUUGUGGUGGAUGUUAAGGCAGUUGGAGAGAUGAGGAGGCCAGUGGACUUGAAGGAACUGAAGAGCAAUGAAGGGUUGAAGGGUCUUGCUUUGUUUAGGCAGCCUAGGUUGUCUGUUGUGCCUAUUUCGAAGGAGGUUUGGGAGAUAAUAUGUGAAUUGGGAGGUGGGUUUGAAGGAGAUGGGAAAGUUGAUGAUGAUGAUAAUGAAGGAGAAGAGUAGAUUCUGUGGGUUUUGGGCUUAUAUAUAAUGUAAGGAUCACUUCCUUGUAGUGAUCACUAGUGAAUAUGGGGGGC
rnacentral:misc_RNA from 1 species